UUCUGGCUAGCUCAGUUGGUAGAGCUUUUGAGACUCUUAAUUUCAGGGUCGUGGGUUUGAGCCCCAUGUUGGGUG
rnacentral:tRNA from 1 species